UGGUUGGGGCUGUAGCUCAGCUGGGAGAGCACCUGCUUUGCAAGCAGGGGGUCAGCGGUUCGAUCCCGCUCAGCUCCACCAAUGCAAUUUGGUGUCGAGAGAGCGGUUGAAAUAUCCUUUGAAGAAAUAAAAGUUUGCAUCACUCGAAUGAGUGCUGCCUGUUCUGCAUACAUUGUGAAGAGAAGAUUGAUCUGGAGGCUUCCAGGUGUUUUAGCAAUCCUAUGGAUUGCCGAGAUGUCCGAGCCCAGUUCUGAUGAUCCUUGUGAGGGCCUAGCCGGCCUGAACCUGGUGAAGGACUGGAGGUAGGUAGGAAGCUUGUCGCUCUGGAUCGUUCGUUGUUGGUGACUUCGGUUACCUCUGAUGAACGGUCGGAUUACCGUUGCCUGACCGCGCGGUACCGGAUUUAAUCUCGAGAAGCUGGUCUUAAAGAUCUGGCACAAGUGAGCUGCUCGGCGUAGCUCCAAUAAAGUGACCGGAUCGAACACGUCGAUGGCAUCGUUGAUCAGACUGGGUUGUAAAAGGUAGCCCGGUCUGUCGGUCGUUCUGCGGAAUGACUGACUGAAUGAUGAGCAUUGGCAAUGAGAACGAUUAAGUGUCGUAAGGGCAUUUGGUGGAUGCCUUGGCAUGCACAGGCGAAGAAGGACGUGAUACGCUGCGAAAAGCCGUGGGGAGCUGCGAAUAAGCUUUGAUCCAUGGAUAUCCGAAUGGGGAAACCCACCUUAAAUGCUUGGAGAAUCCAAACUGAUCGCAAGAUCGGCUUGGGUUUCCAGCAUUGUGAUAAGGUAUCUAACCUUCGAAUACAUAGGGGUUAGAAGCGAACGCAGGGAACUGAAACAUCUAAGUACCUGCAGGAAAGGACAUCAACCGAGACUCCGCAAGUAGUGGCGAGCGAACGCGGACCAGGCCAGUGGCAAUGAGGAAUAAAGCUGAACAGGUUGGAAAGCCUGGCUAUAGUGGGUGAUAGCCCCGUAAGCGUAGAACACUCAUUGUCCUAGAGUAAGGCGGGACACGUGAAAUCCUGUCUGAACAUGGGGAGACCACUCUCCAAGCCUAAGUACUCGUGCAUGACCGAUAGCGAACAAGUACCGUGAGGGAAAGGUGAAAAGCACCCCGACAAGGGGAGUGAAAUAGAACCUGAAACCGGAUGCCUACAAGCAGUCGGAGGGCGCAAGCCUGACGGCGUACCUUUUGUAUAAUGGGUCAACGACUUAGUGUAACUAGCAAGCUUAAGCCGGUAGGUGUAGGCGCAGCGAAAGCGAGUCUGAAUAGGGCGACCAUAGUUAGUUGCAUUAGACCCGAAACCGAGUGAUCUAGCCAUGAGCAGGCUGAAGGUUGGGUAACACCAACUGGAGGGCCGAACCCGCAUCUGUUGCAAUAGAUUGGGAUGACUUGUGGCUAGGGGUGAAAGGCCAAUCAAACUCGGAGAUAGCUGGUUCUCCGCGAAAUCUAUUUAGGUAGAGCGUCGACCGAAUACCCCAGGGGGUAGAGCACUGGAUGGGCUAUGGGGACUCACCGUCUUACUGAUCCUAACCAAACUCCGAAUACCUGGGAGUACUAGUCGGCAGACACACGGCGGGUGCUAACGUCCGUCGUGAAGAGGGCAACAACCCUGACCUCCAGCUAAGGUCCCCAAGUCAUGGCUAAGUGGGAAAGGAUGUGAGGAUCCCAAAACAACCAGGAUGUUGGCUUAGAAGCAGCCAUCAUUUAAAGAAAGCGUAACAGCUCACUGGUCUAAAUAAGGGUCUUUGCGCCGAAAAUGUAACGGGGCUAAAGCCAUGCACCGAAGCUGAGGAUGUGGAUUUAUCCACGUGGUAGCGGAGCGUUCCGUAAGCCUGUGAAGGGGUACCCGUGAGGGGCCCUGGAGGUAUCGGAAGUGCGAAUGUUGACAUGAGUAACGAUAAAGGGGGUGAGAGACCCCCUCGCCGAAAGACCAAGGGUUCCUGCUUAAAGUUAAUCUGAGCAGGGUUAGCCGGCCCCUAAGAUGAGGCAGAAAUGCGUAGUCGAUGGGAACCACGUUAAUAUUCGUGGGCCUGGUGGUAGUGACGGAUUGCGUAACUCGUUCAGACUUAUUGGAUUGUCUGGGCGGGGAAGCGGUUCCAGGAAAUAGCUCCACCGUACAGACCGUACCCGAAACCGACACAGGUGGUCAGGUAGAGUAUACCAAGGCGCUUGAGAGAACUAUGUUGAAGGAACUCGGCAAAUUGCACGCGUAACUUCGGAAGAAGCGUGACCCCUUUGUACGCAAGUAUGAUGGGGUGGCACAGACCAGGGGGUAGCGACUGUUUAUCAAAAACACAGGGCUCUGCGAAGUCGCAAGACGACGUAUAGGGUCUGACGCCUGCCCGGUGCUGGAAGGUUAAGAGGAGAGGUGCAAGCUUUGAAUCGAAGCCCCAGUAAACGGCGGCCGUAACUAUAACGGUCCUAAGGUAGCGAAAUUCCUUGUCGGGUAAGUUCCGACCUGCACGAAUGGCGUAACGACUUCCCCGCUGUCUCCAACAUAGACUCAGUGAAAUUGAAUUCCCCGUGAAGAUGCGGGGUUCCUGCGGUCAGACGGAAAGACCCCGUGCACCUUUACUAUAGCUUUACACUGGCAUUCGUGUCGGCAUGUGUAGGAUAGGUGGUAGGCUUUGAAGCAGGGACGCCAGUUUCUGUGGAGCCAUCCUUGAAAUACCACCCUUAUCGUCAUGGAUGUCUAAACCGC
rnacentral:tRNA from 1 species